rnacentral:rRNA from 1 species
UACAGAGGUCUCAAGCGUUGUUCGGAUUCAUUGGGCGUAAAGGGUGCGUAGGCGGCGCGGUAAGUCGGGUGUGAAAUCUCCCGGCUCAACUGGGAGGGUGCGCCGAAUACUGAAUGACUUGGAGUGCGGGAGAGGAAAGUGGAAUUCCAGGUGAUAGCGGUGAAAUGCGUAGAUAUCUGGAGGAACACCGGUGGCGAAGGGCGGCAUCCUGGACCGACACUGACGCUGAGGAGCGAAAAGCCAGGGGAGCAAACGGG